UACGUAGGGGGCUAGCGUUGCUCGGAAUUACUGGGCGUAAAGCGCACGUAGGCGGAUUGCUAAGUCAGGGGUGAAAUCCUGGAGCUCAACUCCAGAACUGCCUUUGAUACUGGCAACCUUGAGUCCGGGAGAGGUGAGUGGAACUGCGAGUGUAGAGGUGAAAUUCGUAGAUAUUCGCAAGAACACCAGUGGCGAAGGCGGCUCACUGGCCCGGUACUGACGCUGAGGUGCGAAAGCGUGGGGAGCAAACAGG
rnacentral:rRNA from 1 species